AGUAAGAAUUGAGGUCUUUUACUAGUUUAUAAUAGAUAAUGAUAUAAGUAAUAAUUUGGAAACAUUUAGAUUUAACGCAAACUACAUAUAUUCAACCUUUCCUACAUCAACCCAGAGCAGAAGAGAUUCAGCAGAAAAACCUAUCAUAAGCAUAGGCAACGCAGAACCCAUUGGCAACAAAAAUAAUCCAUACUCACAAGCCAACAACAACCCAAAAAAAUAAAACUCUAUAAUCGACCCAUCAACAGUAAAGCCUUAAAACAGAGACAGUAAUCAACAAUACAAUGAUUCAUUAGCAAAAAUUGCAUGGAAAUUUGAAAGUCCCCUUUUGGUUUGGGGUUUCUGCUCGGACUUGUCUCUAUGAUUUUUUGGGUUUCUGAAUUAGAGGUUGGCUAGAGGAAAGCAAGAAGGCUGCCAGCAGCGAGUGGUGAUCUUCCACCGAGUUUUGGGUAUAAACGGUGAUGCACAGGUGACAAUCACGACGAGAUUCCAUCGAUAUCUAGGUUGCUUGGUGAUCGGCCAAUCAUGGGAGAUUUGUUCUAAAAAUCUGGGUUGGCCACACAGAAGAAGAGAGUGAAGAAUAAGAAAUAGAAAAAUUUUUGGUUACAAGUGACGAAAAGAGGAAGCAAACAUUGGGUUUUUGGCAUAAGUGCUUAGGUAAAGAAUAGAAGAGGGAAGGAAUUGGUGGCUGGUUUCUAGGUUAAGAUAGUGGCUAUUCUUGGUUGAGAUUCGAACAGAAAAUAGGAAAGGAAGGACGGAGACGCUGCUGGCAGAGUAAGGUUUCUGGCACAGGCACGGUAAUCGGCAGUGGAGGUGAUAAACGAGACCAACGACGAGCUCGGUGAUUGAUUAGAAUCUGGAAUUUUAGAGGCCUGUUCUUGGGGGAGAAGCUUUAGGGAGAAGAAGUAGAGCUUGAUAGCUAAAGGAAGAAAGCUGAAAAAGAAAAAGAACAAAAGAAAAUUUUCCAGAUGUCAAAGUCCUGCCAUUUUGGGUAAAGAAAGAAGCUGAUCCUUCUUGGCUCUCACCCAUGCAACCCCCGUGAUGCCCAUAGCGACCCGACCUGGUUUG
rnacentral:lncRNA from 1 species